UGAGUUCUCUAUCUGGCUGGGAUGUGCUGUAGUUGAAGUGCAGCAGCCCUGUGCUUGGCUUUGUGCCCUUUCUCUGGACCCACUUGCCAGCUCCGUGUCUAUCUUGUGCUGUGGGCCCAGGCCACCAGCUGCUGUCUUUGUGAUUCCAUCUGCUGUCCGGAAACAAUCGCUCGCAGUCAGUAUGUUUGCAGAUGAUGCUGAAGGAUGAGGAACCAUCGCCUCCUCAGGAGUAGAAAGGUUUGGAUGCAACAUCUCCACGCAGCAGCAGGCAGCACGUUCACCCACCGCAUGAAGUUGGCCAAGAGCAAGCGUGGGACAGGCUGGCCCAGGAGUCUGCAUCACCAGAGGCAUUCCAGGAAAGGAGCAGGACCUAUUUCCAUCGGCCACAUCAGACUUCACUCUCCACUCAGGACAAAGCUCCGCAGGAACCAACUCACCAAGGCUGGAUGCACAGGGUUCGGCCAAGAAGCACCAGCUCGAGUCACCCAGCGAGAAACCAGAGAUAGUCCUCAGCAAACUCAUCCAGGUUGCUUUCUGAAGGCAGCACCACUCCAUGCUCAGGGAGUUCCACCAAGUUGGAGAAACUCCUGCAACGCAGCUGCAACCAUACAGGCACCAGAGAAAUGCACCAAGCCAUUUCAUUGGGCAAGUCAAGUGAGCCUGAUACAUGGUCCUUUUGAAAGAGAGCCAGCAUCACCCGCUGCCCACCCCACAGAACUGAACUUACCUACCAGCAUUCUGGGGGCAGACGCUGAGAAGAAAACAGAGUUAGACCGGGAAGUUCUCCUCCGCCAUUCCACUUCAGCAAGAAG